YUUYUUGAUUUAAWUUGAAGUCGUGCCUGCCCACUGAGUAUUUUAAGGGCCGCGGUAUUUUGACCGUGCAAAGGUAGCAUAAUCAUUAGUCUUUUAAUUGGAGGCUGGAAUGAAAGGUUUGAUGAAACGAUUACUGUCUCAAAAUUAUUUAUUGAAUUUUACUUUUGAGUUAAAAGGCUUAAAUAUAAAAGGGGGACGAGAAGACCCUAUAGAUCUUUAUAGUAUGUUUUUUGUUUUUUUUUUUGGUGUAUCAUGAUAAAUUGAAAAUUUACUAUUUCAUUGGGGUGAUGAGAGAAUAUAAUAACUUCUUUAUAUUUUACCUUGAUAGAUGAUUAGAUGAUCCUUUAAUAUGGAAUUAAGAUUAAGAUACCUUAGGGAUAACAGCGUAAUUUUGUUGGAGAGUUCUUAUCGAUAAUGAAGAUUGCGACCUCGAUGUUGGAUUAAGAAUAUAGUUAGGUGCAGGAGUUWAAUAUAUKGGYCYGUYC
rnacentral:rRNA from 1 species